rnacentral:rRNA from 1 species
CAGUCGCCGCGGUAAUACGUAGGGUGCAAGCGUUAAUCGGAAUUACUGGGCGUAAAGCGUGCGCAGGCGGUUUGUUAAGACAGAUGUGAAAUCCCCGGGCUCAACCUGGGAACUGCAUUUGUGACUGGCAAGCUAGAGUGUGGCAGAGGGGGGUGGAAUUCCGCGUGUAGCAGUGAAAUGCGUAGAUAUGCGGAGGAACACCGAUGGCGAAGGCAGCCCCCUGGGCCAACACUGACGCUCAUGCACGAAAGCGUGGGGAGCAAACAGGAUUAGAUACCCCUGUAGUCCCUGUCUCUUAUAA